rnacentral:rRNA from 1 species
UACGGAGGGGGCUAGCGUUGUUCGGAAUUACUGGGCGUAAAGCGCACGUAGGCGGCUUUGCAAGUUAGAGGUGAAAGCCCGGAGCUUAACUCCGGAAUUGCCUUUAAAACUGCAUCGCUAGAAUUGUGGAGAGGUGAGUGGAAUUCCGAGUGUAGAGGUGAAAUUCGUAGAUAUUCGGAAGAACACCAGUGGCGAAGGCGACUCACUGGACACAUAUUGACGCUGAGGUGCGAAAGCGUGGGGAGCAAAAGGG